AUUGAACGCUGGCGGCAUGCCUUACACAUGCAAGUCGAACGGCAGCACGGGAGCAAUCCUGGUGGCGAGUGGCGAACGGGUGAGUAAUAUAUCGGAACGUGCCCAAUCGUGGGGGAUAACGCAGCGAAAGCUGUGCUAAUACCGCAUACGAUCUACGGAUGAAAGCGGGGGACUCGCAAGAGCCUCGCGCGAAUGGAGCGGCCGAUAUCAGAUUAGCUAGUUGGCGGGGUAAAAGCCCACCAAGGCGACGAUCUGUAGCUGGUCUGAGAGGACGACCAGCCACACUGGAACUGAGACACGGUCCAGACUCCUACGGGAGGCAGCAGUGGGGAAUUUUGGACAAUGGGCGCAAGCCU
rnacentral:rRNA from 1 species